rnacentral:rRNA from 1 species
AGAGGUCCCGCCUGCCCUGUGACCAUAAGUUUAACGGCCGCGGUAUUUUGACCGUGCAAAGGUAGCGCAAUCACUUGUCUCUUAAAUGAAGACCUGUAUGAAUGGCAUAACGAGGGCUUAACUGUCUCCUUUUUCCAGUCAAUGAAAUUGAUCUCCCCGUGCAGAAGCGGGGAUUCUUCCAUAAGACGAGAAGACCCUAUGGAGCUUUAGAUAUAAGCAGACCAUCUUAAAUACCUAACAUCAAAUAAAUAAAACCAAUUGGGCCCUGCUCUAACAUCUUUGGUUGGGGCGACCGCGGGGAAACAAAAAACCCCCACGUGGACUGGGAGCACAUCUUACUCCUAUAACCAAGAAUGACAACUCCAAGUAACAGAAUAUCUGACCCUCUGAUCCGGCACAGCCGAUCUACGAACCGAGUUACCCUAGGGAUAACAGCGCAAUCCUCUUUUAGAGCCCAUAUCGACAAGAGGGUUUACGACCUCGAUGUUGGAUCAGGACAUCCUAAUGGUGCAGCCGCUAUUAAGGG